rnacentral:rRNA from 1 species
UGGGGAAUAUUGCACAAUGGGCGCAAGCCUGAUGCAGCCAUGCCGCGUGUGUGAAGAAGGCCUUCGGGUUGUAAAGCACUUUCAGCGAGGAGGAAGGUGGUGAGCUUAAUACGCUCAUCAAUUGACGUUACUCGCAGAAGAAGCACCGGCUAACUCCGUGCCAGCAGCCGCGGUAAUACGGAGGGUGCAAGCGUUAAUCGGAAUUACUGGGCGUAAAGCGCACGCAGGCGGUUUGUUAAGUCAGAUGUGAAAUCCCCGGGCUCAACCUGGGAACUGCGUUUGAAACUGGCAAGCUAGAGUCUCGUAGAGGGGGGUAGAAUUCCAGGUGUAGCGGUGAAAUGCGUAGAGAUCUGGAGGAAUACCGGUGGCGAAGGCGGCCCCCUGGACGAAGACUGACGCUCAGGUGCGAAAGCGUGGGGAGCAAAACAGGAUUAGAUACCCUGGUAGUCCACGCUGUAAAACGAUGUCGAUUUUGGAGGUUGUGCCCUUGAGGCGUGGCUUCCGGAGCUAACGCGUUAAAUCGACCGCCUGGGGAGUACGGCCGCAAGGUUAAAACUC